rnacentral:rRNA from 1 species
UACGGGGGGGGCAAGCGUUGUACGGAAUUACUGGGCGUAAAGGGCUCGUAGGCGGCCAACUAAGUCAGACGUGAAAUCCCUCGGCUUAACCGGGGAACUGCGUCUGAUACUGGAUGGCUUGAGGUUGGGAGAGGGAUGCGGAAUUCCAGGUGUAGCGGUGAAAUGCGUAGAUAUCUGGAGGAACACCUAUGGCGAAAGCAGGUACCUGGGCCAUUACUGACGCUGAGCUGCGAAAGCUAGGGGAGCAAACAGG